UACGGAGGGUGCGAGCGUUGUCCGGAAUCACUGGGCGUAAAGGGCGCGUAGGUGGCGGAGCAGGUCAACGGUGAAAGCUCGACGCUCAACGUCGAGUCGGCCGUCGAGACUGCUUUGCUCGAGCACUGUAGAGGCAGAUGGAAUUCCGGGUGUAGCGGUGGAAUGCGUAGAGAUCCGGAAGAACACCGGUGGCGAAGGCGGUCUGCUGGGCAGUUGCUGACACUGAGGCGCGACAGCGUGGGGAGCAAACAGG
rnacentral:rRNA from 1 species